GACGAACGCUGGCGGCGUGCCUAACACAUGCAAGUCGUGCGAGAAAGUUCCUUCGGGAGCGAGUAAAGCGGCGCACGGGUGAGUAACACGUAGGUAACCUGCCCCCCAGUCUGGAACAACUAGAGGAAACUCUAGCUAAUGCCGGAUGAGACCACGAUCCCUUCGGGGGUUGCGGCCAAAGAUGGCCUCUACUUGUAAGCUAUCGCUGAGGGAUGGGCCUGCGGGCCAUUAGCUUGUUGGUGAGGUAACGGCUCACCAAGGCUGUGAUGGCUAGCUGGUCUGAGAGGAUGACCAGCCACACUGGGACUGAGACACGGCCCAGACUCCUACGGAGGCAGCAGUGGGAAUAUUGCGCAAAUGGGCGAAAGACCUGACGCAGCGACG
rnacentral:rRNA from 1 species